GCCGGGCAUGGUGGUGCAUGCCUGUAAUCCCAGCUACUUGGGAGGCUGAGGCAGAAGAAUUGCUUGAACCCGGGAGGCGAUCUCAGUGAGCUGAGAUCACACUGCUGCACUCCGGCCUGGGUGACAGAGCAAGACUCUGCCUAAA
rnacentral:SRP_RNA from 1 species